CCCUUAGAUGUCCUGGGCCGCACGCGCGCUACACUGAGUGUCUGAGAUACGAGUCUGCCUGGUCCGGCAAGGUCUAGGUAAUCGCUAAAAGACACAUCAUGCUUGGGAUAGAUUAUUGCAAAUAUUAAUCUUGAACGAGGAAUUCCUAGUAAGCGCAAGUCAACAGCUUGCGUUGAUUACGUCCCUGCCCUUUGUACACACCGCCCGUCGCUACUACUGAUUGGAUGUUUAAGCGAGGUUCUCGAACUGCUAGCGACUUAGCUUCGGUGAGGUCGCAGUGUGGGAAGUGAACCUCGCUUUGGUGUCUAGAGGAAGUAAAAGUCGUAACA
rnacentral:rRNA from 1 species